CCGACAUCACCGUCACCAGCCAAUCUGAUGAACGCAACCUCGAUGGCAGCAGCCAAUGGAGCUACGCCCAGUCUGACUACACCACUCGUGAAGAGUCCCAGGCCCAAAAGAAGAUGCAAGGAGUCGCCUACGAUUCUUACGGCAAGGCUACCUACGAGGACGUUAUGGGAAACACCAACAAGGGAUCCUCUUACUGGGUUUCCCCUGAAGGUCAGAAAUUCACUUUAACCUGGACCGCUGAUGAUGCUGGAUUCUAGCCCAAAGGAGACGUCAAUAACA